CCCCUACCUUAGCAUACUUGUCCCCCACUCUCUAGCACCUUCCCUUCAUUAGCCCCCCACCCCUGCCCACCGCUCAGGUCUCUCACCAUCAUCGCCGCCAAGCGUCCCUCAUCCCCUUUCCCCAUCGGUCUAUAUCCCUCGUCCCCUCCCACGGCUUCCUGGCCUACUGCGCGCCGAUACAUACGCAUACAAUAGCACACCCCCGUGCCUUCAUUCGCACACGCCACCAGUGCCCACGCGCAGUACACUGUACGCACCGGAGAAGCAAUGGGCCUCCUCGGCAAGGAACGCGCCGGCUCCUUCAAGGCCACAGACACCUCUGGACGCCAUUUUCUCUGGACAAUCGAUAAGUUCUCGCAGUACACGCUUGGCGUGACUCUCGACAGCGACAACGUCACUUGCUUCACCAAAGUAAAAUUUCACCUGCACAUGGCCCUCGGCGCCAGUGGUGCCGUCGGCAUCUACAUCCAUUACAAGAAGCCGCCGAUCCCGAAGUACUCGUACUACCUAACGAACUCGAAGUGUGAAGAGAUGCGCCAGCACACGGCCUACACCAUCCCCGAGGAUUCGGAGCGCUGCGGUCACUGGAACGUGUGCAGCCACGGGGACCUGAAGGAGUUCCUCGGGGAGGAUGACACGCUGCUCGUGCAUUUCUGUUUUGACGACGACACCCUCGUUGUGAAUCAGCUCGGGCAGAGUAAUAUCUCGGUCACGUGGUCGAUUCCGAAGCUGGAGACGCAGAACCUGUGUCCCUACUCCUCACGCGGUUUCUUUGUGGGCGACACGUUGCUCGUGGCCCGGCUGGACGUCAAGCAGAAAGAUGGCCAUACGGGACGUAAGUACAGCUACGAAGACGUGGUCACGUACAUCAUAUUUGUCUUCUGCCGAAAGGGCAAUGUCCCGCCACACAGCAUCGAGCUCGUGGACUCCGCCGGCAACGCCUACCAUCGCUUAGAAAGGAACGGUGAUCAGUCGGGGCUGACGGCGCUGGUGGACCGCAGUGUGGUUGAGAAGAACAUCGAGAACACCGGCGCUCUCCUCGUUAGGAUCAACUUCUGCGUUGGCAAGAACCCGUUGGAUUUGCUGAACAUGCUUAGUGGUCUCGGCAGCGCAGAGGGUGAGCGGAAGGGCAGCACCAGCAAUGGUCGGACCGUCGAGGUGGGCAACAAGAGGGAACUGUACAACGUCAUGGAAGACUAGAGAGCGAGGUGAACGGAUGACGGGGCAGGGGAACUCUUGCGUGUCGGUGCGUGCGUUCAGUCAACGCGACAGCCUUGUGUUCUUCUUCCCCGUCUGCCUGUGAGUGCACUGGGGUGCACAUGUGUGUGCAGGUGUCGAUUUACGUGCACUCAUACGUGCACAGAUCGAGACUUGUAUGGAUAUAGUCGAUGGCGGAGGAGAAGGGGAAGAGCUUGGCGAGUGCCCAGCAGCCAAAACUGCGCGCGGACAAGCGAAGAGAGAGAGACCGCAGCAGCAGUAGAGGAAUGAGAAGGGGGCUCUCGGAUCGCAGCAACGAGCAGCGGAAAGGAGGAAAGAAGGGAAGAAGAAGGGCAUCGGUACUGGAGCCCACCUACCAUGUCCCUCUAUCUGUUGUGGCACCCAGACGCACGCGCGAAGCGACACUGAUCUCCCGAUGUCUCGCCCUUUCGGUGCUCCCACUCCGUCCUGUUGCCUCUGUGCUCUCUCACUUUUCACUUCCUUUGGACUUCUCAUGCCGUGUUUGCUUGGCCUCUCCUGCUGCUGCUGCUCUACUCCUGUCGUUGUUACUGCGUGGCUUCGCCGUAUUGGUGUCUAUUGCCCUUUCUUGUCUGCCCUAUCGUUCUCUCCCGGCGUGGUCACCCACCCCACCCCCUCCUCCUCCUUCGGUCUGUCGCUUGCUUGCUUGCUCGCGUCUUCUUGCUGUCUUUGCUCUCCCUAAACGCGCCCCUCCCCUCCCACCACCACCACCGCGGUGCCGCACAGUCGCACACACGCACACACACGCACACGCCAGGCACCACCGCUACUCCUCCUCCUACGCGCCUCCUCUUUUUCUUUUCGCUUUUUAUUUUGCCUGCAGAAGCACUUCCACAGCAACGCAGUCUGCGUUUCUCCCCUAAAAUCCCUCUUACAGGCAGUCUGCCGCCACACUGCGUGCCGCCCGUGUGAGUUAUGUUACCCCUUCCCCCCCCCUCCUGGCCUCCCCCCAACUCUGGCGAGGGCCUGCGUGCCCGCAUUCACGCUGAGCUGCAGCACGUCUAGAGUGCGCGAAGGCAUGCCUCUUGUGCUCUUCUUAUUUUCUUCAUUGGGCGCCAUGCUCUCUCUUCUAUCUUCUCUUCCUUUUUUGUUGUUACUCUAGGGAGCCGAUAAGCCUUGCAGGUGACCAUGGCACACGCGGAGGGGGGGUUCUCCACCACCGUCUCGCCUCGACCUUUUCUUCCCUCCCCUCCCCUUCUCUCUUGUACUCCUCCCCCCACACCAUUUCUUCACGUCCCCAUGCAAGCUGCGUUCGUUCUUUGCUGUUUUCUGUCUUUCUUUCCGUGUGCUUGUCCUCCCUGAUGAGCGGUGGAUACGCCAGCCCCAGUGCGUGGCAUCUCGGGACCCGGUGCCCCCACUCUCUCCCCCUGCGGGGAGGCGGAGCGGCACCCCACCCCCUCUAGUCCUGCCCAAUGCGGAGCCGCUUCCGGUCGUGACAGGGUCAAGCGCCGACGCCGUAGGGGAGGUCAGAGCGAUGCAUCGCCACUGACGCCGGCGGCCAGGUCCUGGACGGCGCUGCGUCGGUGCGACCCGCGGCCGUGAACACGCUUGCGCCAUCCAUGUGAUGGGCAGCGUGUCGGCGUGACUCGAGCGUACCCCACACCCGGCCCCCACACUGCCCUGCUGGUGGUGGGUGGGGCUUGAGGCAGGGGCUGUGCUCAGAUGACUGUGUCUGCGCACAGCCGUAGCGACGUGCCUGCCGCUGCUUCAGUUCACGCGCCUGAGGUCUGUGCCAGGGCCCGGGCCAGAGGGAGGGUAGAGUGCUGUGUAGCGCGUGCUCUACGGUCAGAGAAUGGUCAUGUUGAGCAUAGUCUGCUGAAUUUAUAUGUGUGUUUAUGUUAUAUGCGUAUUGCCUCCUUUUCUCGUUGCUUUCCUUUCUUUAGCACUCUUUAUGUGUUUACGUGAGUUCCGGGGGGAGAGAACACGGAGGCCAGGGAGGCACUGGUGAUAGAAGCGCAGCGAUGGGUGGCUUUCCUUUAUGUGUACGUGAGUGUAUGUCUUUGGUUAAGUGUUUGUUCGUCGACGAACACAACUGAUGCCUAUAACGACCGCCGCGGCGCUGGCCGGUAGAAGAGACGAUAUAGGGGCAGUAUGGUGAUGUUCGUUCCAUGGUCUGCGCGCCUAGGCAGAAUGAGAUGCGAAGCAUUUUCGUAUGGC
rnacentral:misc_RNA from 1 species